AUUGAACGCUGGCGGCAGGCCUAACACAUGCAAGUCGAGCGGAUGAAGGGAGCUUGCUCCUGGAUUCAGCGGCGGACGGGUGAGUAAUGCCUAGGAAUCUGCCUGGUAGUGGGGGAUAACGUCCGGAAACGGGCGCUAAUACCGCAUACGUCCUGAGGGAGAAAGUGGGGAUCUUCGGACCUCACGCUAUCGGAUGAGCCUAGGUCGGAUUAGCUAGUUGGUGGGGUAAAGGCCUACCAAGGCGACGAUCCGUAACUGGUCUGAGAGGAUGAUCAGUCACACUGGAACUGAGACACGGUCCAGACUCCUACGGGAGGCAGCAGUGGGGAAUAUUGGACAAUGGGCGAAAGCCUGAUCCAGCCAUGCCGCGUGUGUGAAGAAGGUCUUCGGAUUGUAAAGCACUUUAAGUUGGGAGGAAGGGCAGUAAGUUAAUACCUUGCUGUUUUGACGUUACCAACAGAAUAAGCACCGGCUAACUUCGUG
rnacentral:rRNA from 1 species